GGUGGGCACUCUAAGGAGGACUGCCGGUGACAAACCGGAGGAAGGUGGGGAUGACGUCAAGUCAUCAUGGCCCUUACGGCCUGGGCUACACACGUGCUACAAUGGUCGGUACGAAAGGGUUGCCAAGGCCGCGAGGUGGAAGCUAAUCCCAUAAAACCGAUCGUAGUCCGGAUCGCAGUCUGCAACUCGACUGCGUGAAGUCGGAAUCGCUAGUAAUCGUGAAUCAGAAUGUCACGGUGAAUACGUUCCCGGGCCUU
rnacentral:rRNA from 1 species